UCUAAUCCGUGUGUGUGUGUGGGGGGGGGGGGGGGGGUGCGGUAGUAUCUUUAAUCAUCAUUUUCACAUUUGAUUUCCUGACUUACUCCCAUUUAAUACACGAUCUCAAAAAAGUGGAAGGGGGAAAGGGUUCCAACUCUAUUAUAAUUCAGUUUUUCAUAUGAAAAUUUAGAAAAAAAUAUCUGCUGCGACAAAAAAGUGAUGCUCUGAUACUACGUGCCUGGUCAUCAACAUUUUUUCCUCUCCCUGUGUCUGUGUAGGGCUCUGUCGUCAAUAUAAGUAAUUGUUUAUCAUACAUAAUGACUAACAGGAAAGCACUUACAUGUGUACGUGUAAAGGAGAAAAAGUGUCAUAAUUAUACGUCCUCCAGCAUACACGGUGGUCAAUUUAUAAAAUAUAUACAUGUGAUUUUCCUGUAUCUAAACUGUUCAAAAUGCAAUUUUUAAACCUUGUUCGAUUUUCAAGUAUUUAAUAAAAUAGAAAUUUGAUAUCUACGGUAGAGAAUGGGACAAGAAAGCACCACAGGAUGACUGUUAUACAGUCUAAAAAAAAUCCCCUUCAAGGACCCCAAAAAGUGCGUCGUUCUAUUUGUUCACCUUUGUGUACAUGAUUGCCGAGAAAGAACGUUAUACAUUUUCAACCUUAAUAUUACCACAUAUAAUGACUGUGGAGAAGGUUUGAAUCACACUGAUAAUAUUGCAAACAUAAGAUUAAAUAAUUGGACAGACAACCAUGGGCGGUGAAGAGAAGAAAAAACAACCAACACACUUGCUAAAAGCUAAUAUGCCAUGGAUUCGGUCACAGAUAUUUGCAGCCAACAUAACUUCUUUGUUAUUGUUCCUUGUCUUUUUCUGGAUCCUGCCAAUUAACACCGCCGGACUUAAGGCCCCAGCAGACAGACUUGUAUUCACUUUUCGAUGGCUGUUUGUCUCAUCUCUGAGCAUUCUCUUCGCCCUCUUCGGAGUGCUGAAAGUCCGAGGAACCUCGAAUGCCGUUGACCCAAUCAAUGGAGGAUCCGAAAACCUGACGGAGGUUCCGAACAGAAUUUUACGCAAUACCGUGGAACAGUACUUCUUACAUAUGACAGGCCUCUUAAUGUUAGCCACGAUUCUGGAACCAAGCUCUCUAAAGGCCAUCCCUAUCCUUGUAGGAUUGUUCCUCCUGGGCCGAUUUACAUUCUGGUUUGGAUACACUCGAUCUCCUUUUAACCGAAGCUUUGGUUUUAUGACUACACUAGUUCCAACUUUAGUUAUGUACGGUUAUUGCAUGUACCGGCUUAUAACGGAUAAAUUACUGAUUCCUUAAUGAGGAAUGUAGAGAUAUUAACAAUAUUUAUUGCAAGUCAACCAUGAAUUAUAAUUACAGAGAAAAAAGAGUUCCAUGCAACAUAGCAGCUUUGUGCACGUGUACACGAAUGUAUAAAAAUGAAAGAAAUUUGUGAGUUUGAUGAAAGUCUUGAUGGUCAUUACAAGAGUUAUAAGUUGAAUGAUGUGAAUUUAUUACAGUUACAGAUUUUAAAUGUCUCGUGCUUUGAACAAAUAAAGAAUGUUAUCUAAA